rnacentral:lncRNA from 1 species
UUCACACUUGGUCGAUUUUAUAAUGCGAUAUCCCAGGACAACGUAUCGCCGACCCUUUCAUUUUUAAGCACAUGCGGAAGCAGUUAAUAUCCCCAUACCACAAAACGAUGGGAUAGAAAAGCAGGGCCAUAUUUUUCAUAUUGAAAUUUAUAACCAAACUUUUAUACCAACCACAAACCCCUUCAUAACUAUUCACAUCAAAACAGAGAUCUCAAAAGAAAAUAGAAACUUAGACGAACUGGGCCGUACUCAAGACCCCUCUCAGGACUAUCUUCUUCUUCCAAAAAUCUUUCUCUUCAGAUCUCACCUCCGAGUUCUCCUCCUCGGAUUCCUCCUCCUCAGCUCUUCAGCGGGGUCCUGAAAUGGUUUUCCCCAAACUGGGAUGAGACUACGUCUCAGCGAGUUCUACCCCACUAAGCCCGAUUAGUAAACUAUUAUACUAAAGGCUGCCUAAACACGCACAGGGCAGAGGACUUACCUUGGCCUCUGAUCCCACCUGCAAGUCAGUACAAUUCACAAUAAACACCCAAGCAAUCAUAUCACUAAUCGAAGCAUCGAUCAAAUCGACUUAGUCGAUUUCACAUUUCAGCAAGACCACUCAAGGUCAUUCCCAUUCAAUCAAUCAAUUCACAACAUCACAUCAAAGCAAUGAUCAAUCGAUCUAGUCGAUUACAUAUCAUUCGGACCACCUCUCGGUCACAUCAACACCAUACUUUAAAAUCUCCAUUCGGGUACUCAGUCACAGAGCCGGAUGAAUGCUCUCGGGCGUCUUUUUCGCCAAGGUGACAUACCAAUUAACACUUUACUAUGCUCUCGGGCGUCUUUUUCGCCAAGGUGAUAUAUUCAUCACAGAGCCGACAUAAACAAUUCACUAUGCUCUCGGGCGUCUUUUUCGCCAAGGUGAUAUAUUCAUCACAGAGCCAACAUAAACAAUUCAAUAUGCUCUCGGGCGUCUUUUUCGCCAAGGUGAUACACUGAUCACAGAGCCAACAUAAACAAUUCAAUAUGCUCUCGGGCGUCUUUUUCGCCAAGGUGAUACACUGAUCACAGAGCCAACAUAAACAAUUCAAUAUGCUCUCGGGCGUCUUUUUCGCCAAGGUGAUACACUGAUCACAGAGCCAACAUAAACAAUUCAAUAUCAAUCAAUUCCAAUCAAUUAGGGUAAAUCCCUAAAAUAUCAUAAUUUAUUCAAUUCCAUACAACGUGGAGCUCAAAUAAAUAAACGGACUGCGCCACGACGAUCAGCACGAGAUUUCGGUCGUCGGCCAUCAAAAUCUUAAUUUCCGAAAAUAAAUAAUUAAUUCAUUAAUUUCGAAAAUUAAAUUAUGAUUUAAUAUUAAAAAUUCCGUUUAACUCAAAAUAAGGUCCAAUUAAAUAAACGGACUUCACCACAGUCAUUAGCAUAAUUUUCCGAUCACGGGCCAUCCCAGUUGAAUUUUCAGGAAAUAAAUAAUUAAUUAAUUAAUUUCGAAAAUUAAUUAAUAUUAAAAAUUCAAUUUAGCUUAAAAUAAAGUCCGAUUAAAUAAACGGACUUCACCACGGUCAUCAGCAUAAUUUUCCGGUCACGGGCCAUCUCCCUUGAAUUUUCGGAAAAUAAAUAAUUAUUUAAUUUAAUUCCGAAAAUUAAUAUUUAAAUGCCCAAAAAUCUCACUUAGGCCCGAAUCGCCAAAUUGAAGCCCGAUUAGGGGUCCGAAAAUUCCCGAGAUGCCUUCAAUAAAUAGUAGACCACGUCUACUUGCUAAUUGCGCAAUCAAUUUAUAUAAAUCACAUCACAAUUGACUAAUAAUUGCUAAUUAAUUCUAAUCUAACAACCUAAACAUAAUUAAUUAAAUCUAAACCAGCUUAAAGCAUAAUUAGCCACUAAUCCUGGAUUAGUGAGAUUACUCACCAAAUCGCGCGCAAAUCGGAUCAAUCCGACGGCGGCGACGCGAGGAACGAUUGUUCCCAAAGCGACUCGCGGAUCCGGGGCCGGGAAACGGCCCAAAAGCGGGCCCGAAGUGGCUGAAACCCACUUCGUGGGUCUUGCUGGUCGCGGCUGAACGAAGCAGCUCCGGCGGCUAGGGCGGCGGGGGAAGGCCAGCGGAGGGCGAGGGGUCGCGGGGGAGGUCCGGCGGGGUUGGGCGGUGGCCCACGGUGG